rnacentral:lncRNA from 1 species
CAAUGGGGUCAAUGAGGACGUUGGGGGUGUUGGGGUCAUUGGGGACAGUGGGGUCAAUGGGGUCAGUGGGGUCAACGGGGUCAACGGGGAUGUUGGGGUCAAUGGGGCCAAUGGGGUCAACGAGGAUGUUGGGGGUGUUGGGGUCAUUGGGGUCAAUGGGGUCAACGGGGACGUUGGGGUCAAUGGGGCCAAUGGGGUCAAUGGGGACACUGGGGUCAAUGAGGACAUGGGGGGUGUUGGGGUCAGUGGGGUCAUUGGGGUCUUUGGGGUCAGUGGGGUCGUUCGGGACACACUGGGGUCAGCGGGGUCAUUGGGGUCAGUGGGGUCAGGGGGGUCAUUGGGGUCGUUUGGGACACACUGGGGUCAGUGGGGUCAGUGGGGUCAGUGGGGUCAGUGCGUCCCCCUGCCCCCAUUGGGGUCGCCCCACCUCAUCCUCGCAGUAUUUGCGGAUGACGUCCAGGGCGCCUUCGGUGAUGAGCGGCGCCUCCAGCAC